AUGGAACAGAGGGCCCAAGAGCGACUUAGUGUAGCAGGCUAAAAAAAGAUGUACUUGGCUGAUCAAUACAGCUUCAAACAGUGAUUUCCAAGGGAUGCUGGUUUUGGUUAGAUUUCUCAACCUCCAGUAUCGGGUCUCCAUUUCAGCCCAUUACACAGCUAUGUGCAAGCACAAGACUCCUCAUCAGGCCUUAGAGCUGGAAAUUAACAGAACCAAUGUGAAAUGGCAAGUGUCUAGCCGUCACAGUUGAGAGGAUGAAAACAGAAAACUGCUAUUCCUGUUGCAACAAAAAAAGGGAAUGCCACUGGGUUGAUAGGUUUUUAUCUACAAGACAGCUAAUGCUAUGAACUCA